GGUUUGCUGACCAUGUUUGAACAUGAUAAAUUUGAACCAACGUGAGAAAUGAAAUUUGCUGUCUGCUUACUUCCAAAGCCAAGAACUGAAGAGUGAUUGAACUGCACUGACUGCCUGUCUUAAAAUACACAAAGCAAAUGCUACCAUGAGUCAGCCAAGAUCAAGCCCCGCUCCAGAAUGCAGACUGUUCAUCACUGCUCCAGAAACCAGGGAAAGACAUCUGGGACUUCAGGCACUAGGGCUAGAUUGUAUGUGGAGAGUUGAAAAACUACAGAAUGUACUCUUACAUAAUGGCUAAGGUUCCUCCACCGAUAAAUGCCAACUUUCCAGUGGACCACGGGAAAUUGUCUAUUUUGGGCCACUCCGUGGGAGGCCAUGGAGCUCUUACUCAUGUUGUGAAGAAUCCUGGAAAGUGCAAAUCUAUGGCAGCAUUUGCUCCAAUUUGCAACCAGUUCUCUCUUUUUGGAGGGUGGAGGUGGGGAUGGGGCAAAAAUCUCUCAAUGGAUAUUUGAAAUCAGAUCACAAAAAUAAAAGGCUUAUGAUGCUGCCAUUCUUAGAAAGUUCUAUUCAGGUUCUGGUUAGACGUAAUCAAGGAAAUGAUGAUGAAACAUUUCAGCAAGAUAGCUACUUCCUUACACCAACUGUUUUUAGAUUUCAAGAGGCUUAUAAUUAGUUACUUUUCUUUGCAAUCUUCAUUAACGACCACAUCAGACUUCAUGCAAAAUACCUGAACGCAGGAAAUAUCAGACACUGA
rnacentral:lncRNA from 1 species